UACUGGGGUCAUACUGGGAGCCAUACUGGGAGCACUGGGGCCAUACUGGGAGCACUGGGGCCAUACUGGGGUCAUACUGGGAGCACUGGGAACCAUACUGGGGAUACUGGGAGCCAUACUGGGAGCACUGGGGCCAUACUGGGGCCGUACUGGGAGCACUGGGGCCGUACUGGGAGCACUGGUCCAUACUGGGUUGUCCCCCACACUCUCUCCCUUUCCCCAGCAUUCUGUACUGGGGGUACUGGUCCAUACUGGUCCAUACUGGCCCAUACUGGUCCAUACUGGUCCAUACUGGUCCAUACUGGUCCAUACUGGUCCGUACUGGUCCAUACUGGCCCAUACUGGCCCAUACUGGUCCAUACUGGCCCAUACUGGUCCGUACUGGUUCGUACUGGUCCAUACUGGUCCAUACUGGUCCAUACUGGCCCAUACUGGUCCAUACUGGUGCGUACUGGUUUAUACUGGUCUGUAUUGGUCAUACCGGUCAGUACUGGUCCAUACCAGUCUGUACUGGUUCAUACUGGUCUGUACUGGUCCCUGCUGGUCCAUGCUGGUCUAUACUGGUCUGUACUGGUCUAUACUAGUCCGUAUUGGUCCGUACCAGUCCAUGCUGGUCUAUACUGGUCCAUACUGGUCUGUACUGGUCCCUGCUGGUCCAUACUGGUCCAUACCGGUCUGUACUGGUCCAUACAGGUCCGUACUGGUCUGUACCAUUCCAUACUGGCCCGGUCUGUACCGGUCCAUACUGACCUAUAUGGGCCCAUACCGGUCCAUACUGGUCUGUGCUGGUCUGUACCAUUCCAUACCGGUCCAUACUGGUGUGUACCGGUCUGUACCAUUCCAUACUGGUCCGUACUGGUCUGUACCAGUCUGUACCAUUCCAUACUGGUCCGUACUGGUCCAUACUGGUCCGUACUGGUCUCUCCCCAGCGUUCUGUACUUUGGGGCCCAGCGGGGUCGGGAUUCCGUCCCAAGCACCGGGGAUGGACCCGGAGAGGGGUUCAGUGUGGAGCUGCAGUGGGAGCAGGUAUGGGAUCAAUAAGGGAUUUAUAGGGGAUUUAUAGGGGAUCUAUAGGGGAUCUGUAGGGGAUGGAGAGGGGUUCAGUGUGGAGCUGCACUGGGAACAGGUAUGGGAUCAAUAAGGGUUUUAUA
rnacentral:lncRNA from 1 species